CUACGGGUGGCUGCAGUGAGGAAUUUUGGUCAAUGGGGGAAACCCUGAACCAGCGACGCCGCGUGUACGAUGAAGGAGCUUUGCUCUGUAAAGUACUGUCAGAGGGGAAGAAAAGCCUGGUUGCCGGGCUGGGACUGUACCCUCAGAGGAAGGACCGGCUAACUACGUGCCAGCAGCCGCGGUAAUACGUAGGGUCCAAGCGUUAUCCGGAAUCACUGGGUGUAAAGGGUGCGUAGGCGGGCUUGUGCGUCAAGGGUUAAAUACCCAGGCUUAACCUGGGAAAUGCCUUUGAUACGGCAAGUCUUGAGUGUGAGAGAGGAUGGUAGAAUUCCUGGUGUAGCGGUGAAAUGCGUAGAUAUCAGGAGGAAUACCGGUGGCAAAGGCGGCCAUCUGGCUCAUUACUGACGCUCAUGCACGAAAGCGUGGGGAGCAAACAGGAUUAGAUACCCGAGUAGUC
rnacentral:rRNA from 1 species